CCACCACCGAGUCCAGUCUGCGGGCCACGGAGAUCCGCGCCGACAACCUAUACAGCCAGGUGGUGGGACUGUCGGCCGCACAGGCUAACCUGAGCAAACAGCUGAACAUCAGCACCCUCGUCAAGGACACCGUCAUGCAGCAGCUGCUGACCACGCGGCGCGAGGUGGAGCGCAUCAACGCCAGCUUCCGCCAGUGCCAAGGCGACCUGGUAAGAGGCAACUCGUGUGCCCUUGGUUGCAGCCCUGGGCGCUCCCAUGGGAAGAAAUCUGGAUUGCUCCCCACACACCCCCCCCGGAACACACACACCUUCUUUAUUUAUUUAGAACAUGACCUCAGGUAGUUCAGAUAGCUGGUUUAGAACUCGCUAUGUACCCAAGGAUGGCCUUGUUGGGCUCCUGACCCUCCUGCCUCCGCCUCUGGGACUCUGGGAUGACCAGCCAGUGGUCAAGCCUGGUGUAUGUAGUACAUGCUACACCAUGGAGCUACAGGCUUUCUCUCUCCCUAACUCCCCACCCUAGGCAGGGUGGUUUUUAAUUUUUUUUUUUUUUCAGAGCUGGGGACUGAACCCAGGGCCUUGCGCUUGCUAGGCAAGCGCUCUACCACUGAGCUAAAUCCCCAACCCUGGCAGGGUGGUUUUAAACUCGUGACAAUUCUCUGCCUCAGCCGCUUGAAUGCUGAGAUGAUAGGUGUGCGUCACCCCACGUAGUUGAUGAGGAUCUCAUGACAGUGUGAUUUCUCGAUGGCAGAUAUCGCCUGUCAAGAAAGAGUUUGCUGCAGGUGGCUUGGUUUUUCAGAUUAAAUGUAUUUAUUGCACAUGUAUGUGUUUACCCACAUGCUCUGGCCUCUGUGUGGAGGUCAGAGGACAGCCUUCCACCUUGUGGAAGACUUCACUCAGAUUGUCAGCCUGAGCAGCAAGUGCCUUUACCCCUGAGCUGCCU
rnacentral:lncRNA from 1 species